UCUCCGUUGGUGAACCAGCGGAGGGAUCAUUACAGAGUUUACAACUCCCAAACCCACUGUGAACCUUACAGCGUCGUUGCCUCGGCGGACCGCCCCCGGCGCGGCCCCUCUCAGGGUACGCCCGGGACCACGGCGCCCGCCGGAGGACCCAAACUCUUGUAUUUGCAGGAUGCAUUGCUCUGGGUGAAAACAUGCAAAUGAAUCAAAACUCUCAACAACGGAUCUCUUGGUUCUG
rnacentral:misc_RNA from 1 species